GUAGAUCGCACUUACGAAGACGCAUAAAUUUUGUAUUAGAACAACUAAGGAAUAUUAAUUUGAGGUUCCAACAAAAUACAUUUCCUAUUAAACAUAUUAAUAACAUUUCGAGAUUGGUAAAAGAUAAACAUAUUAGGGUUUACCUUUAUUGUAGUUAGUUUUAUGCAAAAAAAAAAAAACUUAAUGAACUUGUUUUAAGCUCAAUUCUAUCACAAUCUCUUUACUAAAAUAUCAUUUUUUGUUUUGCUUUAAAACCUCACUACUUGAUCAAAACUUUUUCAAUUAUUGGCACCCGUUUAUCUCGCUC
rnacentral:lncRNA from 1 species